rnacentral:rRNA from 1 species
GAUGAACGCUGGCGGCGUGCCUAAUACAUGCAAGUCGAACGAAACUUCUUUAUCACCGAGUGCUUGCACUCACCGAUAAAGGGUUGAGUGGCGAACGGGUGAGUAACACGUGGGCAACCUGCCCAAAAGAGGGGGAUAACACUUGGAAACAGGUGCUAAUACCGCAUAACCAUAGUUACCGCAUGGUAACUAUGUAAAAGGUGGCUAUACUACCGCUUUUGGAUGGGCCCGCGGCGCAUUAGCUAGUUUGUAGGGUAAAGGCUUACUAAGGCAAUGAUGCGUAGCCGAAGUGAGAGGUUGAUCGGCCACAUUGGGACUGAGACACGGCCAAAACUCCUACGGGAGGCAGCAGUAGGGAAUCUGCCACAAUGGGCGAAAGCCUGAUGGAGCAACGCCGCGUGGGUGAAGAAGGUCUUCGGAUCGUAAAACCCUGUUGUUAGAGAAGAAAGUGCGUGAGAGUAACUGUUCACGUUUCGACGGUAACUAAUCAGAAAGCCACGGCUAACUACGUG